ACCAGGUAUGGUGGCACAUGCCUGUAAUCCCAGCAACUGGGGAGGCUGAGGCAGGAAGAUUAUGUGUUCAAGACCAGCCUGGACAACUUAGUAAGACUCUGUCUCAA
rnacentral:sRNA from 1 species